AACGAACGCUGGCGGCAGGCCUAACACAUGCAAGUCGAACGCCGUAGCAAUACGGAGUGGCAGACGGGUGAGGAACGCGUGGGAACAUGCCCUUCGGUUCGGAAUAACUCAGGGAAACUUGAGCUAAUACCGGAUACGUCCAAGGCUUGCCUUGGAGAAAGAUUUAUCGACGGAGGAUUGGCCCGCGUCUGAUUAGCUAGUUGGUGGGGUAAUGGCUCACCAAGGCGACGAUCAGUAGCUGGUCUGAGAGGAUGAUCAGUCACAGUGGGACUGAGACACGGCCCAAACUCCUACGGGAGGCAGCAGUGGGGAAUAUUGGACAAUGGGCGCAAGCCUGAUCCAGCCAUGCCGCGUGAGUGAUGAAGGCCCUAGGGUUGUAAAGCUCUUUUGCCCGGGAAGAUAAUGACGGUACCGGGAGAAUAAGCCCCGGCUAACUUCGUGCCAGCCGCCGCGGUAAAAC
rnacentral:rRNA from 1 species